AGCAAGUUUGGUGAUGCUUCCUUGCUCUUGUGAUCUGUCGUGUAUCUUGUGAUAUUUAUUGCUUUAUAAAUGUUGGUGGUCACAUGAGAAUCUGAGCUAUCCAUUUCUAUGCUGUUUCUAGGUCUCAUGGUCAGAGGGAUAUGUUUAAGGCCCUCCACAGUGAGCGUGAAGACAAGGAUAUCAGAAGACAAAUAGACCUCCAGCAAAGCUGCAGCAACCAAAUGGACCGUGCUGUGCGAAACCCAACGUCAUGCUCGUGUGAGUCAAACAUCCCCCUCUGGUGCUGGAGAGUUCAGCUAAAGAGCAAACAAUGGUAA
rnacentral:lncRNA from 1 species